AAUUACCCAGUGACUAUAACAAUUUCAAUUUUGAAACUUAAUCCAAAAUUCUUCUACUUAUAAAAAAUAUUAUAAAAAUAUAAAUCAUCAUUUUCUGGAAUAUGCCCUAAUUCAUAGCAGGGAAGAAGAAUCUGUUAAGUCCCAUCAUCCCUACCAGACAAUUAAAAUUAGAGAAACAUGAGGAAUCUGCUCUUAUUUAAUCCCUUAGAAUUAGGCAUACCUAAUUGGAUACAUAUUAUAUUAAAACAAUAGCUUACAGUGGUAGCCAAGUUUUAAAUCAACUCUUUGUAAAGCCAUACUUAUUCCAAGGAGAUCAGUAGCAAUGAUUCAAUCUGUUCUCCUGGAUGUGCAACACAAAUUAAGAAUGCACAGUGAACCCUUAGGUAGGUUUCUAACAGAUGAUUUCUUCUAAAUUUGGCUCCUUCACUUUGACCAGCUGAAUUAAACAACAUGAAAAGAUGAACUGUCUUUUCUCCAUUAAAUUAAAUUACAGUUUAUAAAUUGUUAUAUUUCAAAAAAGAAAACUAUAGACAAAGUUGCAUCUAACCAAAAUAAUGUCAGAGUUAUCUGCCAAAAUUCUGAAGACUAUGUGGAAUCAGAGGUUGCAAAUGGCAAGUUUCCUGUGCUAAGUCCCACAGAAGACCUCUAUGGAGUUUUUAUAAGUGGAGAUUAGUUGCCAACACUUAAUAUUCACAAAAUUUUACAUAAAAACUAUGCCUUUUCAUUGCUUUAGGAAAAAACAUCAGAAUGAUGGCCAACGAUUGUCCUAGGAUGUAGUUCCUCAGCACUUUUAGUCUCAUUUCCCCAAUGGCAUGACCCAAUCACACCCAUGAUCAAAAAAAGAUUCAGGCAAAGAAUGAGAGAUGCUUACAUCAGGAAACCAUCAGAAAACCAUCAGAAUGUAUGAAAAUAGUGAGAAAAUACAGCCAGGGCACUGAAAGUAUCUGCCAUAGAAUGCUCCUUGCACCCCUGAGAUCUAUUCGUGUCAUUUGUUCAUUUCUCACUCUCCUGUUCCUAAUUCUUCAAGGUGGAACAAGUCACAAUUUCUAAUUUUGCUCAUCUAAUUUCCGCACUCAGUGGGUUAGCCAUAUCUUCAUUCCUGGGGGAAUGAAUUCCAGCCACCAGGUCCUAGCCAGGCCAUGUCUGAUGCUAUUGCACAUUCAUGGUUAUCACCAGUCAUAGAAGCACCAAGAGGUACUACAGUCAAUCUUCUGUUCCAGACAUACUUCUCUCUUCUCCAAUUAUGUAGUGGGAAUCUUAUCUCUUCAUGAUAAUCAGAGUCAUUACUCCUGGCAGUAUAGUAUCUCCUUUCUUUGAUGAUUUACCAGCACAAAAAGCCCAAAAUUACAAGUCAAUAGCUGUAGCUUUAGGUCUGUGGAAACCUCACUGUGUCCCUUAGAUGAAGCAUACCUAACCAGGUACCAGAAUCUCUAAUUCACCAUAGGCUGAAGUUACAGAGACAGAAACACAUAUUGCAAAUACUGAAAAUUCAGCAUUCACUGCUGACAGGUCAGGCAUUCGACAGUUAUAGCAGCUAAAAUAAUCGUGGUGAGGAGUGUAAUCCUAUUGGACUUAAUGCGUAUCUUUCAUUACUGGUCCUAUGACUAUGCCAUUAACAAGUCCAUUGUGCAAGAAGCACCAGUUUGACUGAAGACAGUCUGCCUGACCUCUGCUAAAAUAGAUGUUAAGGAUGAGACUCAUGUAAAACAUACAGAUCCACAUAUUUUGUGCCCACUCCCAUAAGUCCUCCUGAAUGUCUACAGCCCAUACUUUUUUAAUGACCAAGUUUACUGCGCAAAGAUACAUACCCUCUUGGAGGACUUGCCCUCAUCACUGUCUUUGAGGACCACUCACAAAGGGGCUAUCAGAUAACAAUACUUCAUUUUUGGUUUGCAACAACAUAACAAAAUAAUCUAAUUAUGAACCAGGCCCAGAAUUUUUCUUCUUUUGACAGCUUAUGGGUAGGAGUUCUGAGUCUCAAUCAAAAUCUGUAGCCUUCCAACAUAGCCAAUAAUUAGACUGAGGCACCAUUUCCUAUUGUGGUAUAUUAUGCACUGGGCCUCUUUCUUAGUGAUGGAAUACUUUCUAUGCAGUAACGUACCUAACUUUGCCCAAAGAGAGAUCUGGCCCUUGUCUUUGCCUUCUAAGAAGUAAUCUCUAAGCCUUUGGAAGAUCGUACCUCAUAGGAGUAUCUCUGUUUAAAUAAGGCCUUGGGCCAUACCAAUCUAACAAGUGUGGUUUAUAAUGGGGGUUUGUGUCAGCUCAAUCUCCAGAGGAGCUAGAGACUGAGGUCAAUCACAUGGGCUGUUAACCAUGAAACCACAACAAAGACUCCAUGUAUGAAAGCUCAGGUAAACCUCUCUGGUUGGAAAUAUUCCAAAUUGUUAUACAACUUUGCCAAGAGGAGUUAAUACUGUCCAUGACUAAUGGGCACAAAGACAGAACACCUGGAACCUCUGUUUGAACUCCUCCUGGACUUUCUCUGAUACAUUUCUUCCAAUAGCUGAUUUUAAUGUGUCCUUUCCCUAUAAUAAACCUAAAUCUAUAUUAUAAUACUGUAUUUAUUCUCCUGUAAUAAAACUAUAACUGUGAGUAUAAUAGCUUUCACUGAGCUCAAUGAGUUCUUCCAGCAAAUUAUUGAAACUGAAAGUGGUUUGGGUAAACCCUGAACUGACAAUUGGUAUAAGGAAGGGUGAUCUUCUGAAUUGUGUUCUACUGCCUUCCCCUUUUCCUGGUGUACAAUUAUUCUGGCUAAUGGCUACAUUCCUUUGAGGAAAAAUGUAGGAAUAUCUACUUCAUAUCCUUACUGUGACACUGCAGGAUAUUUCCUUGAAGGGCUUUAGCAUCCCCUUCAACUUGUGUAAAAGGCCUUGGGUCUGAAAACUGGGUCAAAAUGAAGGGACUAUAAUUUUCCACUACAGUAGGUAAGAUCAUUCACAUGUUAAACUACAGUUUGUCUGUCUGUUUUAUUAUACAAGGCAAGCAAUGCUCUUGUUGGCUGUCCAUCUAUCUCACUCCUAGCAAGAGUAUGGGCUAUUAGCCAUUUCCACAGAUACCUGAGGAUCAAGGUCCCCUCAUUGCCAAUCUAGCCUUGAGAUCGGCCCAUCAUGGCAUUAAUGCCUGCCUUACCUCUGACAGUUAAGUGCCAAUACCUAACCUUUGCCAUUCCAGAAUCAAACCAUCAUCAGUAACAUAAGAGAGCCAAGCUCCUUAGCAGCAUCUCCUUUAUUAUCAAUGCUGGUCUACAUAGGACAGCUCCACUGAGCUUCUGAUGAUGCUGGUAGCCCACCCUACCCCCACUAACACAUUCCUUUUCACUUAAGUGAAUGAAGCCAUCACUAACCCUCACCGAAUAGUAAGUUUAUGGAUCUCUGGUCUUCCAUAUUACAUCUACUCUAAUAUGCCCACCUCUCUAGACCUCUCAUUUUAUCUGUAAUACUCUGUGAAGACAUCUCACAUCUCCACCUCACUUACUGUACAUCACAGGUGUUUUCAAGUUUCAUGGAAACAUGCCAGAAGAGAAUCAGAACCAGUACCAGGUGUCCAUGCCAGGAUAUAAAAUCCAGAGUUAUGGGAGAGUUCCCCUUUUAAAAAAACUCUCUUCUAUUCAAUAUUAUAUUCUGUUGUUCUUGCUUGAGCACCUUCAAGAUUUAUUCCCUGUGUAUGUACUCCAAGUUUCUGAAGGUGACUUAGUUAAAUCCAGCAGUUUUUGGUGGAUAAUUCUUUCAUCUCAUAGCAUAGUAAUUUUUCUCUAAGACAGACUCCUAUUACUGAUCUAUGCUAUGAGAAGCCACAGGAAGAGAAACGGGCUUAGCCUGUGAAGGAUCAUCAUCAUCUUGAAAGAUAUCUACCUUAUACCCUCUGUUAGUAGUUUCUAGGCAGUAAGAGCCUAUGUAUUCUCUUUUAACACAGGAGAGAGAGCAACUUCUUCUGGCCUAGAGGUACAAGGAAAAUCUAAGGCCCUGGAUUUCCAAGCCCAGUCAUCUAAUUGUGCUAAUCCCAGAUUUUAGGCUUCUAUAUAUUUCCAAUCAAAGUCUUAUUCUUAAAUGUAAGAGAGGUACCAGGGGUAUGAAUUCAGCUUCCUUUGUAAUUUCUCUAUUCUUACAAUCAAAUCCUGGACCUGGUUCUUAGCACAGUCUGUUUUAUGGCUGCUGGAGAUGUGGGUCUCUUUUAAAGUUAUCAUGGAAAAUUGGGUUCACAAUAUAUCUGAAAACAAUAUUUGGUUGAGCUGAGCCUAUUGUACUCUUCCUUCAGGACUUCCAUGACCCUUAACAACAGCUACCCAACCAUAUAAGUCUUAUAAUUAUCACUGCCCUAUACAGUUCAAGUAGAGAGUUACUGCAUGAGCCAGUGCAUCCCCUCUUUACCUAUACCUCAUCUCAAUCCACCACAGGUAAUAGUAUUAAUAACUGGUAUUACAGAUCAUCAAGAAUUCUUGACAGCACCCUCAUCCUCAGCAAUGAAGUCCUUGUCUCUAAUUGGCAAAUCAGUGAUCUAAUCCCAGGGUCUGCCUCCUAGGACCCCACUUCUGGUACAAACUGUCUAAUGUUGCAUUCUUCCAGAAGCUGACCCCGAUUUAAGGGUAUGAAUGCAAGUAAUUUACGUGGGAGAUGAUCCUAAAGACAACAGUUUGGGGAUUGCAAUCUAAGACAGCCAUCUCUGUGAUGAAUACUCAUGAAUCUAGGUGGCUUGGGGAUGACUGUCUCUGCUAACCCAACUUUGGUUUCAGGACCGAGAGUGUCACUGUAUUAAUAUCCAACAGAUAGACUAUGCACAUGAUCAGGAUACCAGCAAGGUAGGGGCACACAAAACUAAUGUUUAUUUUCUAUAAACUUAUCCAAAAAAACUAAAGAAAAAAAUAAUUUCACUUCCAGAACUAAUGUAAGUUUUGUGUUUUAUGACUUAUUGCUAUUUUAGUUUUUAAAUAAUGAGUACAGGAAGCACAAAUCUUUUUAGUGAUUUUCAGUGCUAUAUUUAAAAACAUCUUCACGUGAUCCACCCUCUGAUGACAUCCUCUACCUGCUCAUUGAAGGCAGCAGGUCAGAUCCUUCCCUGCUGUGUUUCUGAACGAACUUCUUCUCAACAAUUUUUAAUACCAAUUUUGAGUCAAUUCUUUAGCUAAACUUCAAAUAAGCUCACUCUGAACAUCAUAACUGCUUCCCCCCAGCAUGCUUCUGAGUGCCCAGACCCACCCAGGCUCUGGUCCAAUAAGUACACCAUCUUUCUUCUUCCAGAGACCUCCUCCCCUUCCCUGAUCUUAUUCACUCCCCUAAACACAAAAUUUCUAUCUCCCUUCUUCCUUUCAGUGAGGUAGAUUCACAACCAAAAAGAGAGAUAUAAGAUAUCCCCAUUUCCCACAGAAAACUGAGCCAAAAGAAUUAUCAGAAUAACUUUUUACCCUUUUUUCCCCUGCUGCUAAUUUAGAAAUUACCUCUAGGGGAAACCCCACUUAAUCUCUAUGUUGAGUUUCAAAAAUUAAAUAAAUAUUUGUCAAAUGGAGUGAAGUAUGGAAGAAACAAGGCAUAGAAAGUAACAAUGAAAAAGCUGAAGGGGUUUCUCCAAAGUCCUUUGGAUUUAUCCCAUUCUCCCCUUUGAUAAACAAACUGACAGCUUCCAAAAGAACAGCUAUGUUAUUCCCUGUUGCCACCUCGACCCCAAGCACUACUUGUAAACAUAGGUCUAGAUACAAGUGCAUAUACGGAAAAACAUGUACCAUUUCACACUCAAAACAAAUUCUAGUUAAGUAAAAAUCAGACUGACUCUGGGCAACAGACCUGAAGCCAUCACUGCCUUGUUCCCCUAGUUUCUUUGCUCUCUCUCAGUUUGGAGAUAAUGCACCUUCAGAGCCCAAAGUCCCUGCCUCUCAGACUAAACAUGCUGAUUGCCAACCAAAACAAACAUCUUUACUGACAACCAA
rnacentral:lncRNA from 1 species